rnacentral:rRNA from 1 species
GUGGGGAAUAUUGGACAAUGGGCGAAAGCCUGAUCCAGCCAUGCCGCGUGUGUGAAGAAGGUCUUCGGAUUGUAAAGCACUUUAAGUUGGGAGGAAGGGCAGUAAGUUAAUACCUUGCUGUUUUGACGUUACCGACAGAAUAAGCACCGGCUAACUUCGUGCCAGCAGCCGCGGUAAUACGAAGGGUGCAAGCGUUAAUCGGAAUUACUGGGCGUAAAGCGCGCGUAGGUGGUUUUGUAAGUUGGAGGUGAAAUCCCCGGGCUCAACCUGGGAACUGCCUCCAAAACUGCAUGACUAGAGUACGGUAGAGGGUAGUGGAAUUUCCUGUGUAGCGGUGAAAUGCAUAGAUAUAGGAAGGAACACCAGUGGCGAAGGCGACUACCUGGACUGAUACUGACACUGAGGUGCGAAAGCGUGGGGAGCAAACAGGAUUAGAAACCCUGGUAGUCC